UACAGAGGUCUCAACCGUUGUUCGGAUUCAUUGGGCGUAAAGGGUGCGUAGGUGGCGCUGUAAGUCGGGUGUGAAAUUUUGGAGCUCAACUCCGAAACUGCAUUCGAUACUGCGGUGCUUGAGGACUGGAGAGGAGACUGGAAUUCAUGGUGUAGCAGUGAAAUGCGUAGAGAUCAUGAGGAAGACCAGUGGCGAAGGCGGCUCUAGACG
rnacentral:rRNA from 1 species